GCACCACUCAAGCCUAGCUUGGUGUUAGGGCUCGCGGUUCCCCGCGGCCCUCAAAUGCAGUGGUAGUGCUGUCUCGAGCCCUAAGCGUAGUAAUUUUUCCUCGCUACAGAGCCGGGCAGCGUCUGCUAGACAACCCCAACUUUUCUA
rnacentral:misc_RNA from 1 species